rnacentral:rRNA from 1 species
GAUGAACGCUGGCGGCGUGCCUAAUACAUGCAAGUCGAGCGAACAGAUGAGGAGCUUGCUCCUCUGACGUUAGCGGCGGACGGGUGAGUAACACGUGGAUAACCUACCUAUAAGACUGGGAUAACUUCGGGAAACCGGAGCUAAUACCGGAUAAUAUAUUGAACCGCAUGGUUCAAUAGUGAAAGACAGUUUUGCUGUCACUUAUAGAUGGAUCCGCGCCGCAUUAGCUAGUUGGUAAGGUAACGGCUUACCAAGGCGACGAUGCGUAGCCGACCUGAGAGGGUGAUCGGCCACACUGGAACUGAGACACGGUCCAGACUCCUACGGGAGGCAGCAGUAGGGAAUCUUCCGCAAUGGGCGAAAGCCUGACGGAGCAACGCCGCGUGAGUGAUGAAGGUCUUCGGAUCGUAAAACUCUGUUAUUAGGGAAGAACAAAUGUGUAAGUAACUAUGCACGUCUUGACGGUACCUAAUCAGAAAGCCACGGCUAACUACGUG